rnacentral:rRNA from 1 species
UACAGGGGGGGCAAGCGUUGUUCGGAAUUACUGGGCGUAAAGGGCGCGUAGGCGGCCAACUAAGUCACACGUGAAAUCCCCAGGCUUAACCUGGGAACUGCGUGUGAUACUGGAUGGCUUGAAUUCGGGAGAGGGAUGCAGAAUUCCUGGUGUAGCGGUGAAAUGCGUAGAGAUCAGGAAGAACACCGGUGGCGAAAGCGCUCUGCUAGGCCGCAACUGACACUGAGGGACGAAAGCUAGGGGAGCGAAUGGG